GUUGGGCACAAUGAAAACUUGCAGCAAAUCCCCUCUCGUGCUGCUGGAGCUGAUUUACAUCACAUUAUUUCCAGUUCUGGAGGCACAACGAGUCAGUGUCUGGCCCGAAGUGAUUGGAUACCUGGGGCAUAAUGUCACGCUGCCAUGCCAGUUCAUCCAAGGACCAGAAAAAGGCAUUAUUACUCAGGUUCAGUGGAGUCUCCUGCAACCAGAAGGAAAUAGAUACACCAUUAUCGUUUCUAAUAAAAAGUUUGGGGUUAAUAUUCCAGAAUCUCCACUCAAGGAGAAAGUGGCGAUAAAAGAACAAGCGUUGAUAAUUGAAAAUGUUGAGAUGAAAAAUGCAGGGUUGUACAUGUGCACUCUUGCAACCUUCCCCAGUGGCUCAUUUGACGGAACAACCAGCCUCAUUGUUCAAGAGCAGAUGCCGUUAUCAGCAGGGGUGGUGACUGCUAUAGCGAUUGCUGCUAUACUCGUGGUAGGGAUUAUGACAGCUGGAGCUUACUUCAUCUUCAUCAGAAGGUUUGUGUGUAUGUGUGUAUUUUGUGUAGGAGUACUGUAUACAAAAGAGUCUGUAGAAAAGAAAACACCUCCCACAACUGAGAAUCUUAUUUCAAAAGGUGUUACUAAUAUUUCAGCAUUAAUCCUCAUUUAUUACAUAUUUUAACAGUAACUAUUAUUUCAAGCUGAUAUACUUAACUGUAUCACAGCAGAUGAUGGACUUUGAUUAUCUUCUUUAUUUUAGUGCGUGUGUGUGUGUGUGUGUGUAAUAAUCAGCAGAUUAAUUGAAGAUGGAAAUAAGCCUUAUUUUUUCAGAUUCAAAACAACUGCAGGGAAAACUAAUCAAAGCACUCUCUCUUGACUUCUUUCACUCAGGCGUGAUUCCUCGGUCAGACACAGUGUCUUCAUUGGUGAGAACAAAAAUACAAACAUGUUUUAAUAUUUUGUGUUGUAUAACUUUUUCAGUUCCCUUGAAUAAAGCUGGUCUGUCUCUCAGACACAGGUCGGACAGUGAUGGAUGUGUCCGGGCCUUCGGUUCUUGAAAGAGACGAGGUGAGCUCCGAGUUGGUUCGAAGCCACAUGUCAGAUAAAGUUUGUUUACUCUGUGGUCGUGAUAAGACAAAUAAAAAGAAUUGUUGUUUUAGAAAAGCAACACGAUACAGAUGAGCAGAUUCCACCAUAACGCUCUCUGUCUCGAUCUUACUCGCAGGGUGCGGUCUACUCCGACGUCAAGUUCAGACCAGCCAGAGAUGAGACGUCCUCUGACAAUGACAGACGCACGAAGUCCACAUGUGCUGAUGUCACGUACGCCGAAGUUGUAGUUUUGGGUCAGCAGCCCAAAUGAGGUCCAGAAAAAAAAAAUCACCUUAAAGCUGCUGUAUGUACAAUAAAUUGCAUUCAUCCUAUUUUUGUCAUCAUGCAGUAUAAUAUCAGCAUAUUCUGACAUCUAUGGAUAAAAUGCUCACCUGCAACUCUGUAGGUGCUCUCACAAGUUCUUGUUUUUUUUUCCCCCUUCCAUUGGCCUGUGCCAGACCAAGCUGGGAUGAUUUGUGUUUCCUCCAUAACCUCACAACUGGGGGAUGUACAAGAAAUGUAACAUUUCUCAUAGAAGAAUGUUUUUCAAGAACAAAUGCAGUCCUUGAAAUAACACCACUUUUAGCGUGUUUUCCACUGUGUAUUCCACCACGGCACGACCGCUGCCAUGCUCAUGGCGUAGUCAGCAUGCAGUCAUUUGAUGAUUAGCAAAAAAACAAACUACAACUGAUGUUGUGUCAUCAUAUUGUGUCAUCAUAUUUUAAAGUAUUUGGUCACGUGUAAAAUAACAUUUUGACCUGCGAGAUGAAAACUCUGUUGUAGAAGCAAUAUGCAGUAUCCUCCAUGAAUGUGUGUGUGCGUGUGUGUGUGUGUGUGUGUACCAAAUUGAAUAACCUAUGCCUUUCGUGUUUCAAUAAAGAACUUAAGUCAACACCAUUGCGCCAUUUCACAGCAAUCAAUCUAAAAGUUAUAGAUAGUUCAGUCUGACCCAAAGCGGUGGACCAAUAAACAUUGCCAUUCCCAAAAGUUG
rnacentral:lncRNA from 1 species